rnacentral:rRNA from 1 species
GAUGAACGCUGGCGGCGUGCUUAACACAUGCAAGUCGAACGAAGCAGUUUGUUUGAAACCUUCGGGUGGAAAACAAACUGACUGAGUGGCGGACGGGUGAGUAACGCGUGGGUAACCUGCCUCAUACAGGGGGAUAACAGUUAGAAAUGGCUGCUAAUACCGCAUAAGCGCACAGUGUCGCAUGACACAGUGUGAAAAACUCCGGUGGUAUGAGAUGGACCCGCGUUUGAUUAGCUAGUUGGUGAGGUAAUGGCCCACCAAGGCGACGAUCAAUAGCCGACCUGAGAGGGUGACCGGCCACAUUGGGACUGAGACACGGCCCAAACUCCUACGGGAGGCAGCAGUGGGGAAUAUUGCACAAUGGGGGAAACCCUGAUGCAGCGACGCCGCGUGAGUGAAGAAGUAUUUCGGUAUGUAAAGCUCUAUCAGCAAGGAAGAAAAUGACGGUACUUGACUAAGAAGCCCCGGCUAACUACGUGCCAGCCGCCGCUGUAACAC